rnacentral:rRNA from 1 species
AGUGAACGCUGGCGGUAGGCCUAACACAUGCAAGUCGAACGGCAGCACAGUAAGAGCUUGCUCUUACGGGUGGCGCGUGGCGGACGGGUGAGGAAUACAUCGGAAUCUACUUUUUCGUGGGGGAUAACGUAGGCAAACUUACGCUAAUACCGCAUACGACCUACGGGUGAAAGCAGGGGAUCUUCGGACCUUGCGCGAUUGAAUGAGCCGAUGUCGGAUUAGCUAGUUGGCGGGGUAAAGGCCCACCAAGGCGACGAUCCGUAGCUGGUCUGAGAGGAUGAUCAGCCACACUGGAACUGAGACACGGUCCAGACUCCUACGGGAGGCAGCAGUGGGGAAUAUUGGACAAUGGGCGCAAGCCUGAUCCAGCCAUACCGCGUGAGUGAAGAAGGCCUUCGGGUUGUAAAGCCCUGUUGUUGGGAAAGAAAAGCAGCAGGUGAAUACCCCGCUGUUCUGACGGUACCCAAAGAAUAAGCACCGGCUAACUUCGUG